rnacentral:tRNA from 2 species
GGCCCUAUCGUCUAACGGUUAGGACGGAGGCUUCUCAAGCCUUAAAUCCGGGUUCGAUUCCCGGUAGGGUCACCA